rnacentral:rRNA from 1 species
GACAGAGGCCCCAAGCGUUAGGCGGAAUCACUGGGCUUAAAGCGUGUGUAGGCGGCUCGUUAAGUGUCUUGUGAAAUCCCACGGCUCACCCGUGGAACGGCUGGGCAUACUGGCGAUCUUGGGCCAACUAGGGGCAGUCGGAACAAGCGGUGGAGCGGUGAAAUGCGUAGAUAUCGCGUGGAACGCCGAAGGUGAAAACAGACUGCUGGGGUUGCGCCGACGCUGAGACACGAAAGCCAGGGGAGCAAACGGG